rnacentral:rRNA from 1 species
CCUACGGGAGGCUGCAGUGAGGAAUAUUGGUCAAUGGACGAGAGCCUGAACCAGCCAAGUAGCGUGAAGGAUGACUGCCCUAGGGGUUGUAAACUUCUUUUAUAAAGGAAUAAAACGAGGCACGUGUGCCUUUUUGCAUGUACUUUAUGAUUAAGGAUCGGCUAACUCCGGGCCAGCAGCCGCGGUAAUACGGAGGGUGCAAGCGUUGUCCGGAAUCAUUGGGCGGAAAGGGUUCGUAGGUGGCAUAUUAAGUCAGGUGUUAAAUGCAGAAGCUUAACUUCUGUUCGGCACUGGAUACUGGUAAGCUUGAAUGCGGUAGAGGUAAAGGGAAUUCCUGGUGUAGCGGUGAAAUGCGUAGAUAUGAGGAGGAACAUCGGUGGCGUAGGCGCUUUACUGGGCCGUAAUUGACACUGAGGAACGAAAGCCGGGGUAGCAAAUGGGAUUAGAUACCCGUGUAGUC